ensembl:lncRNA
GGGAGUUAUGUGCUUACAUCCACAGGAGGAUAUUCCCCAAUGCCCAACAUCUUGUUUCAUCAUUUAUGGGACUGAAACGACCUGCAAAUAGUAGGGGUCAGUGUACUGUGGAGGGUCUGGAAGGAGAAAAUGCCGAUAUACCAAAGUGGUGCCAUGCUUAUAAGUAGAUGGGAGUUGCCAUCUAUAUUACACCAUGAUGCCAGUGCUCCAUCCAGGGCUUCUUUGUUCUCUCACUGCUAAUUGGACAACUUCUAGGUAGUUUUGCAAUCUUUUCUCUGUGGAAUUAAGUAAGACAAAACUUAAACUUCCCAAUGCUCUGACACUCCUAUAGAACAGAUUUACACCAACCGUAUGUGGAAGGGAAUUAGCCCUGUGGCAACAAUCAGCAAUUAUAUAUGCCAGGAAGAAAGAGCAGUUGCUGUAAAGGGGAUUAAUUAGAAGUAAUGGGAUAAAAUUGAGGGGGUGGGAAGCCUAGUUUGAAUAUUAGGUCACACUUUGCACUGUUGCAUUUCUCAGGCCAUGGAACAGUCUUUAAGAGCGGAAAUCUUGUCACUUCAGGAAUUGGAGGUAUCCAGUACCACAUCUGAGGCAUUGGAACAGGCUACCCAGGGAGGUGAUGGAGUCACCAUCCCUGAAGUUUUUUUAAAAAAGGAUAGUUGUGACACUGAGUGACAUGGUUUAGAGAGGUGUUGAUGGCUGGACUAGAUGAUCUUAGUGGUCUUUCCAACCUUAAUGAUUCUAUGGUUCUAUGAAUUCAGAUGUCCCGCAUGUGCAUUGCUGGAAGCCUUUGAAAAUUGAGAGUAAUGGGGUAGGAUAUGAAAAAGGAAGGGGACCUUCUUCAUUGUGCAUGGCUUCUCUGUGUCUCUGGUGAAGGGAAAUGGGAUGUGGAUAACAGAGCUCCCCACAGAGCAGGUGUGAAUCUAUCCAUGACAUAAGUGAAGAGAAAUAACAACUGUUUACGAGAGUGGAUAGUGAUAGGACAAGGGGGAAUAGUUUUAAACUGAGACAGGGGAGGUUUAGGUUAGAUAUUAGGAAGAAGUUUUUCACCCAGAGGGUGGUGUCACACUGGAACAGGUUGCCCAAGGAGGCUGUGGAUGCCCCAUCCCUGGAGGCAUUCAAGGCCAGGCUGGAUGUGGCUCUGGGCAGCCUGGUCUGGUGGUGCCUUGGUGACCCUGCACAUAGGAGGGGGUUGAAACUGGAUGAUCAUUGUGGUCCUUUUCAACCCAGGCCAUUCUAUGAUUCUAUGAAAUAUAAAUCAAUGGUCAACAUAUGUAUUUGUUCAAGAGUGCUGAGGUUUUGCAGCUUCACUGACUGGAGAUCAGGCCAUGCUGUCUUUCAGUGGGGUUUGCUAAUGCUGUACAGACAGUAGGUGACAGGAGUGUGUAUCUACUCUACCCAAAACAUUAAAGACCACAGGAGUCAUGAUGGCAAUCAAGCCUGGUCUCCUACUCAGAGAUUCUGAAGAAUUACUGCUCCAGAAAGCAUCAUCCUAUAGUAUCAGUACCCCAUACACUGCUCUCUCUUCUCCCAGGCUUCCCUUCCAACUACAGGGACGUGUCUACAAGGAGUGACAGCCUGCUCAACACUAUCCCUUCAGGCAGAUGAAGGCCAUUUAUUACUGUUCAUCGUAUUUCACGAGAACCUAGGAGUCUCCACCAGUUUCAGAGGGCCUUGCUCAAGACUCAGAAGCGCAGAACAGAUAAAAUUGGAGGAAUGCUAUUACCUAAGCUUUCAAAUAAUGC